UAUGCUUCUCCUAAAGACUAAGCCAUGCAUGCCUUCGAAUACGAGGAAGCAAUUCUCUCUGAAUCUGCGAACGGCUCCGCAAACCAGUUGUAAACCAAAGCAAGCAAACCCGUGGACUGCUCCUCACGAGGCGGACUGCGGGUGAUACGGAUAACCCUGGUAAUUCUGAGGCUAAUACGAGACUAUAAUCCCUGGUCGACCGGGCAACUGGAAGGCCGGGGGGCGUGUGAUCUAUUUGCAAGACGGAUCCAGGAAGGGGUGCACGCUCUGACCGCGACAAAAACAGUUCCGUAGACCUCCGGGCGAGCGGUUCUGAGCGGCUCUUGCGAUGUGCUUCUGACCUAUCAACUAGAUGGCAGCGUAACGGACAUGCCAUGGUUACAACGGGUACAGAGGAUUAGGGUUCGAUCCUGGAGAGUGGGCCUGAGAGAUUGCUCAUACUUCUAAGGAAGGCAGCAGGCGCGCAACGUUCCCCUUGGGCAAUGCCCGAGGGCGUUAGGGGACAUAUGAAUGGUUGCCUUUUAGGUGGCCAAUUCAAAUGGGUCUGUUCUAAACAGCCUCUCGAGUAACAAUUAGAGGA
rnacentral:rRNA from 1 species